CUUAAACCGAUGAGUAAGAGAAGUAAGAAAGAUUUUGCAUUUACAGAGAGUCGCAGAUGCUGGGAUUGCGAUAAUGCAAACUUUACUGAAUGGACUUAUGAGGGCUGGCUGAAAUGAUUUCCAAAUCAGAGUAGGUUCAGACGAGAGCUCAACUCGUUACAAAGUGAGGAUGUAUGUUAGUACAUUAUAGAGUGGGUCUAUGACCAAUUUGGGUGGUACCGCAGGAGUUUAACUCUUGUCCCUUGU
rnacentral:ncRNA from 1 species